rnacentral:rRNA from 1 species
UACGGAGGGUGCAAGCGUUGUCCGGAUUUAUUGGGUUUAAAGGGUGCGUAGGCGGCUGAUUAAGUCUGGGGUGAAAGCCCGUUGCUCAACAACGGAAUUGCCCUGGAAACUGGUUAGCUUGAGUACAGACGAGGGUGGCGGAAUGGAUACUGUAGCGGUGGGAUGCAUAGAUAGUAUCCAGAACCCCGAUUGCGAAGCAGCUGCCUAGACUGUAACUGACGCUGAGGCACGAAAGCGUGGGGAGCGAACAGG